rnacentral:rRNA from 1 species
GAUGAACGCUGGCGGCGUGCUUAACACAUGCAAGUCAAGGGGGCCCAGCAAUGGGCAACCGGCGAACGGGUGCGUAACACGUGAGCAACCUACCGAAUUGUGGGGGAUAGCCGGCCCAAC